UACGAGGGGGGCGAGCGUUUGUUCGGAAUUAUUGGGCGUAAAGGGUGCGUAGGCGCCUGACAAGUCUGAUGUGAAAUCCCUGGGCUCAACCCAGGGCCUGCAUCGGAAACUGUCGGGCUUGAGUAUGGGAGAGGUGAGUGGAAUUUCCGGUGUAGCGGUGAAAUGCGUAGAUAUCGGAAGGAACACCAGUGGCGAAGGCGGCUUCCUGGACCAGAGCUGACACUGAGGCGCGAAAG
rnacentral:rRNA from 1 species